GGAUAUGAGGGCGAUCUGGCUGCAACAUUUGUCACCCCAUUGAUAGCCAGGGUUGAUUAGGCUUAUCUGACUGGCUAGGUGGUUGUCCCCUUCCUCCUCCCUCACCACUCCAUGUGCAUCCCCCCCCAAAGCUGUGUGUUUGGUCGAAGAGGAUGGCCUUCCCCGAAUAGAGACGGACCGGUCUUCAGUCGAGGGUAUACGAGUAGCUACGCUCCCCUGCUAGAACCUCCAAACAAGCUCUCUAGAGUUACUGAAGUAUCCCAAUUUUCAGAAUUAUUUCAUCCAUCCUUUAGUCUCAAA
ensembl:misc_RNA 7SK 7SK RNA